AACCAUCGCCUAAAAUGAGAAAGAAGGAAAUAUAAAGAAAAAGACUGUUACAUGGGGAAAAAAUAAGCUAAUGGGCUGUGUGGCAU
rnacentral:sRNA from 1 species